rnacentral:tRNA from 1 species
GAGGGUGUAGCUGAGGGGUAAAGCACGCACUUAGCAGGCGUGAGGUCCUGGGUUCAGUCCCCAGUACUUCCA